CAGUAGCCGCGGUAAUACGUAGGGUGCAAGCGUUAAUCGGAAUUACUGGGCGUAAAGCGUGCGCAGGCGGUUUGUUAAGACAGAUGUGAAAUCCCCGGGCUUAACCUGGGAACUGCAUUUGUGACUGGCAAGCUAGAGUAUGGCAGAGGGGGGUGGAAUUCCGCGUGUAGCAGUGAAAUGCGUAGAUAUGCGGAGGAACACCGAUGGCGAAGGCAAUCCCCUGGGCCUGUACUGACGCUCAUGCACGAAAGCGUGGGGAGCAAACAGGAUUAGAUACCCCGGUAGUCCCUGUCUCUUAUAC
rnacentral:rRNA from 1 species